UACGGGGGGGGCAGGCGUUGUUCGGAAUUACUGGGCGUAAAGGGCGCGUAGGCGGUCUUGCAAGUCCUGUGUGAAAUCCCUCGGCUCAACUGAGGAACUGCACAGGAAACUGCUUGGCUUGAGUUCGGGAGAGGGAAGCGGAAUUCCGGGUGUAGCGGUGAAAUGCGUAGAUAUCCGGAGGAACACCGGUGGCGAAGGCGGCUUCCUGGACCGACACUGACGCUGAGGCGCGAAAGCGUGGGGAGCAAACAGG
rnacentral:rRNA from 1 species